ensembl:lncRNA
CGGCAGGUAGCCUAGUGGUUAGAGUGGAGGGGCGGAAGGUAGCCUAGUGGUUAGAGUGGAGGUGCGGAAGGUAGCCUAGUGGUUAGAGUGGAGGGGCGGCAGGUAGCCUAGUGGUUAGAGUGGAGGGGCGGCAGGGUAGCCUAGUGGUUAGAGUGUAGGGGCGGCAGGUAGUCUAGUGGUUAGAGUGGAGGGGCGGCAGGUAGCCUAGUGGUUAGAGUGGAGGGCCGGAAGGUAGCCUAGUGGUUAGAGUGGAGGGGCGGCAGGGUAGCCUAGUGGUUAGAGUGGAGGGGCGGCAGGGUAGCCUAGUGGUUAGAGUGGAGGGGCGGCAGGUAGCCUAGUGGUUAGAGUGGAGGGGCGGCAGGUAGCCUAGUGGUUAGAGUGGAGGGGCGGCAGGUAGCCUAGUGGUUAGAGUGGAGGGGCGGCAGGUAGCCUAGUGGUUAGAGUGAAGGGGCGGCAGGUAGCCUAGUGGUUAGAGCG